UACGUAGGUGGCAAGCGUUGUCCGGAAUUAUUGGGCGUAAAGGGCGCGUAGGCGGCUUUUUAAGUCAGAUGUGAAAUCCCCGAGCUUAACUUGGGUAGUGCAUCUGAUACUGGGAAGCUAGAGUGCAGGAGAGGUAAGUGGAAUUCCUAGUGUAGCGGUGAAAUGCGUAGAUAUUAGGAGGAACACCAGUGGCGAAGGCGACUUACUGGACUGUAACUGACGCUGAGGCGCGAAAGCGUGGGGAGCAAACAGG
rnacentral:rRNA from 1 species